CACGGGCAGCAAGGCCUACAGCAGGAGAAAGAAGGGUCAGCGUCCUGAGUGGAGUGAGGGCGACCUGUGAGGAGAAGCAGGCAGAAGUCAGUGACGGGUAAACGGGUCAGCGACCUCAGAGCACGGCUACAGGAGAACUCUUAGUGGAAUCAUGGAAUUAGACUACCUCGAAGAUCCCAGAACUCCAGAACCACCAGUGGGCAAGGACUGCCCAAAACAGCCAAGUCGGGACUCCACCUAUUUGAGUAUGGAAACGCCUCUCUCUGGCCAUUGGUCACCGAAGACUGAGAUUUACCAAUAGCAACAUCAGGGGGCUUGGAGGCGAAUCCUUCCUGGAUUACGGCUGGAGAAGACGGCCCCAGUCAGUAUUGUAGCUCUAGCAUUUUAUGAGACCCUAAGCCAGAGGCACCUGUGCAGUGCCUGUGUUAGCAUCCCUGACGUGUGGCAGCUAUGAGACGAUCGUUAGCAUUGUUUUUUUUUUGUUGAUGUUUAUUUGUUUUCUGUUUUUUGUUUUGUUUUGUUUUGUUUUAGUUUUUCCGAGACAGAAUUUCGCUGUGUAGUCCUGGCUGUCGUGAAAUUCGCUCUGCAGACCAGGCUAACCUCAAACUCAGAGAUCCCCCUGCCUCUGCCUCCCAAGUGCUGGGAUUAUAGGCAUGCACCACCA